rnacentral:lncRNA from 12 species
CCAAGAAGCUAACAAAGUGAACAAAGCCCAACUACCCAGAUUUGAUCUUGAAGUGUGUUAAUUCAGGUCUCUUAAUGAGGCCUGAAUGGAUUUCCAGUUUAUUUAUGGCCCCAUUUCUGGUUGCUUCACCAUUUUAAGUGAGAGCACCGAGUGGCCAUCCAUCCAUCCUUAUGAUAACUUAAGUUUCCUGACCCACCACCUUCCAGCCUCCAGAAGAUGAGAACAGUGAUUCUGCAGCAUUGCGAUGCACUGGUCAGCAUGAACUGGGUCCUGAUCCUCCUGGGGCCCCACCUCAUCACCAGCUCCUAUCCCACAGAGACUCUCAUUGGGAAUUAUCUGAGAACAGUUUUCAUCCUCUGAUGUUUGUUCCCAGAAUGCACGGAAGCCAUCUUUCGCCCAGAAGAGGUACGAAAAAUGACAUUAGCAAUUGGGGUGAGGAAGACCAAGUACGAAUGGGAGCAGGAGACAUACAGUAUUGGCCCAGACACAGAGGCAUUUGACUCACUUGUUUGCUAAAAGAAGCCACAAAGGAGGUGCUUAGAGCGCUGGGAGCCAUGGCUCUGCAUCUUUGUCUGGAGAGUCACCAGCGGCAGAGCGUUAGACGGAGCGUAGGGUUUCUGAGCCUGGAGCCCCGUCCGUGUUCAGGUCUCACACCAUGAAGUUGGCCCUCCAGGUUCCUUCUGGAUCACAACAUCCCUCCUCUCACUAGAGACAAUCACUGUUCUAAUAUCUACGUUAUUCUAUAUGUUGGCAAAUUGGACACCAAUAAAAAAAAAAUUUGUCAGUAAAAAUAAAUAAAU